GGCCCAGACUCCUACGGGAGGCAGCAGUGGGGAAUAUUGCACAAUGGGGGAAACCCUGAUGCAGCGACGCCGCGUGAGUGAAGAAGUAUUUCGGUAUGUAAAGCUCUAUCAGCAGGGAAGAAAAUGACGGUACCUGACUAAGAAGCCCCGGCUAACUACGUGCCAGCAGCCGCGGUAAUACGUAGGGGGCAAGCGUUAUCCGGAUUUACUGGGUGUAAAGGGAGCGUAGACGGUAGAGCAAGUCUGAUGUGAAAGCCCACGGCUCAACUGUGGGAGUGCAUUGGAAACUGUAGAACUAGAGUAUCGGAGAGGCAAGUGGAAUUCCUAGUGUAGCGGUGAAAUGCGUAGAUAUUAGGAGGAACACCAGUGGCGAAGGCGGUCUGCUGGACAGCAACUGACGCUGAGGCGCGAAAGCGUGGGGAGCAAACAGGAUUAGAUACCCUUGUA
rnacentral:rRNA from 1 species